rnacentral:lncRNA from 1 species
UAUUACUAUAUAUAAAACAUAUAUAAUAUUUAAUCAUAUUUUUUAAAAGCAGAAUAUAUAAAAGUUACCUCAAAUUUAAAAUAUUGAAAAUUUUAUUUAAAUUAUUAUAAAAUAUAUUAAUUCUUAGUCAAUAAAUCUAAUUGAUUGACGAAUACAAAAUAUCUGUCACUUUUUUUUUAUCUAAAUUGUCCUCAAAUAGUACGUAUCAAAUUUCACUUUUUAUAUGCAUGUCAUAUCUUCUAAUAACCGUCGCCCACAUAAUAUCAUAUUUUAUCACAAAUAAUAUUCGCAUAUCUUAAUUUUUUUUUCUCACACAUAAUAUCCACCACCUAUAUAAUAUCCAAUCACAUAAUACAUUCCGCAUAUAUAAUAUUAAAUUAUUUUUUUUAAAGCAAAAUAUAUAAAAGUUAUCUCAAAUUUACCUACUAAUAUUUAAAAUUUUGGAUAUCUUAUUUAAAUUAUUAUAAAAAAUAUUAACAUAUAUAAUAUUUAAUCAUAUUUUUUUAAAGGUGAAUAUAUAAAAGUUAUCUCAAAUUUACCUACUAAUAUUUAAAAUAUUAAAUAUUUUUUAAAAUUAUUAUAAAAUAUAUUGAUUCUUAAUUAUUAGAUCUAAUCUAAUGAUUGACGAAUACAAAAUAUUUGUCACUUUUUUUUAUCUAAAUUGCCCUCAAAUAUAAAUAUAAAAAUUAUCUAUCUGAUAUAAUAUAAACAAAAAUUAGUAGGCACAUAUAUAAUAUAAAAUGAAUUAUUUUAUAAGUAGCAUUUAUAGUAUAAUGUUCAUUUUAAUUUGUAUUUUGGUCAUUUAGUAUUUUUUUCUGUAAAACUUAUUGCAACAAAAAGCUGAGUUGCACAUUGUGGAGAAAGUUUGCUGAAGAACUUUAUACUUAUAAACAAGUAGGGGAUGAAGGCCCUGUCAUAAUUAUAAUGCAAUGGUGGAAGAUAAAAGACUUUGCAGGUAUCUCAUUUAUUCAAAUUUUGGAUAUUAUUUAUAUUCUUAGUAAUUAUAUUAAUUAUUAUAUAUCUGUGGGCAACAUAGGUACACGUAGUAUAUCAAAUUCUCUUUAUGCAACCAAGAUGAUAACUUAUGUUUGCCACGUGUCAAGCUCAAAUAUAAAUUUUUUAUUUUAGAAAAAAAAAUUAGAUUUUUUUAAAAAAUAAUAUCUUUUAUUAUAUAGAAAAUCUACGUAUUAAGCUCAAAUUUUCUAUUUUAGGGAAUAUUUCAAAGUUACCUAUAAUUAUAUUGUGCGGAUAUUACUACUUGAAGGAAUAUGACUACUUUGGGGAAAAUAAAAUUAAAUUUUUUAAGAAAAUAGUAUCUUUUACAAUAUUAUUAAAAAUCACAUAUAAUUGAUGAAGGAGAUUUUAUUUCAAAGUCACCUAUAAUUAUGUUGAGAUAUUUGAGAAAUUCACGCGAAAGAAUUGGCGGGUGCGGAUAUUACUGCUUUAGGAAAAAUAAUCUACGUGUCAAAUUUAAAUAUAGAUAUUUUACUUUAGGAAAAGUAAAAUUAGAUUUUUUAAGAAAAUAAUACUUUAGGAAAAAUAAAAUUAGAUUUUUUUUAAGGAAAUAAUACUUUAUGGAAAACAAAAUUAGAUUUUUAAGAAAAUAAUAUCUUUUACUAUAUUAUUAAAAAUCACCUAUAAUGAAUGAAAUUUUAUACAUAGGGAAAAUAAAAUUAGAUUUUUUUAAGAAAAUAAUAUCUUUUACUACAUAGAAAAUCUACAUGUUAAACUCAAAUACAGAUUUUCUACUUUAGGAAAAAUAAAAUUAAAUUUUUAAAGAAAAUAAUAUCUUUUACUAUAUUAUUAAAAAUUACCUGUAAUGAAGGAAAUUUUAUUUCAAAGUCACCUAUAAUUAUAUUGAGAUAUUUAAGAAAUUCACGGAUAUUACGUUGCGAAAGAAUUGGCGGGUACAGAUAUUACGCAUGAGAAGGAAAAUAUUUAUCUUUAUUCGGAAAUAAAUUACUACUUAGUUAAUUAUUUAAAAUUAUUAGUUGAAAAUUACUGGAUAUAAAAAUAUUAGUAAAAAACGAUAGAGACAAUUUCCUAACGUGGCUUUCUAUAUGUUUUCCACGUGUCAUCGUCUCUAUUCUAUUUACUAUAAUGAUAGGUGGAGUAAUAAAAUAUUUGAGAAAUUCAUAGAUAUUACGUUGUGAAAGAAUUGACUGGUGCGGAUAUUACGCGUGAGAAGAAAAAUAUUUGAGAAACGCGUAGAUAGAAAAUAUGAUUUAAAUGCGAGAGUAAUAUUGUCACAAAAAUUAACAGAUAUUUUUAUUUUCAAUCAUUAGAUAAGAUCUAAUGGUAAAAAAAUUAAUAUCUUUUGCUAUAUUAUUAAAAAUCACCUAUAAUGAAGGAGAUUUUAUUUCAAAAUCAUCUAUAAUUAUGUUGAGAUAUUUUCAAAAUUCACGGAUAUUAUGUGGCAAAAAAAUUGGCCGGUGCAGAUAUUAUGCAUGAGAAGAAAAAUAUUUAUCUUUAUUUGGGAAUAAAUUACUACUUAGUUAAUUAUUUGAAAUGAUUGGUUGAAAAUUUCUGGACAUAAAAAUAUUAGUAAAAAAUGAUAGAGACAUUUUUGGAAAGAGAAAAAAUUAAAAAUUCACGCUUUUCUAAAGAACUAAUAUCUUUUACUAUAUUAUUAAAAAUCACAUAUAAUGAAGGAAAUUUUAUUUCAAAGUCAUUGAGAUAUUUGAGAAAUUUAUGGAUAUUAUGUUGCGAAAGAAUUGGCGGUGCGGAUAUUACGCGUGAGAAGAAAAAUAUUUAUUUUUAUUUGGGAAUAAAUUAUUACUUAUUUAAUUAUUUGAAAUGAUUGGUUGAAAAUUUCUGGACAUAAAAAUAUUAGUACAAAAAGGAUAGAAAUAUUUUUGGAAAGAGAAAAAAAUUUAAAAUUCACAUCACUCCUGUAAUUUUUUUCGCUCUUAAAUAUUGAUGCUUUAAAAUAGAACAUAUUAUUUCCCUGUUACUUCUGUAAUUUUCAUUUCGUAAUUUUUUUCCCUACUGUCACUCCUGUAACUUUUCAUCUUCAUGCAACAAAGUUUUUUCUUUAUAUUUUUUGGAAAAUCAACAUCUAUAUAUUUUUGAAUCUUAAAAGUGACAGUAGAAACAUAAUAUAUGUGUGCUUACUCUAAUGUGUGUCAAAUAUUAAAGUUUAGUUGAUCUCAUUAUAUGCUUAAAUAUUAAUGUCAUUUGUAAUUUUUCAUAUCAAUUUUAGUUAUUAUUUUAUUUCGCACAUCAAUAUGUAAAUGUAAAUUGUUUUGUACACCAAUUCAUAGAUAAUAGAGCAGGAUUGAAUUUUGCAUUUUAGUUGAAUAUUUAUUUUGGUCCAAAUUUUUUUUUCUCUAGCUUGUGUAACUUAAUAUGUACUAUAAUUAAGAUUGAUAGUAUAUUUUUUUAUUUAUUAAAAAAUAUAAAAUUAAUUAGAAAUUUUUUUUAUUAUCAUCACAUAAUAAUUUUUAUUAUUCUAUAUUAUUAUAUUAGCCGUGCAUCGCACGGGUGAAAAUCUAGUUGCUUAUAUAUUUCUGGAAAGUUUCCGACUUUCUGAUUUAUCACUUUUAGAAGACUAAUAUUAAAAUUAAUCUUUUAAUGUUUCAAGUUAUUUCAAAUAUACCCUAUAGUUAAAUUUCUAUUAGUACACGGUUAGUAACAGCCGUUAUCUCUAUAAAGUAAUUAUUUUAUCAUUUCAAAUAUAAUCUUCUAUCAUCACCAACUUUUUUCAUUUGUCCUUAAGUUAGGGACAAAAUAAGUACUUUAUUUUUUAAUCUUUUCAAAUAUAUUCUUUUAUCAUCACAGACUUUUCUUAUUUGCCAUUAAAUUAAGGGCGAAAAAAUAUUUUAAUUUUUUUAAAACUCUGAUAAAUAUGUAACUCACGUUUAACUCGAGAUAACUUAACGGGUGGUAACUGCGGAGGUAUAUUUGAAUUACGGAAGAACAUAUGAGGGGUAUAUUUGAAAAAAAAGAGAGGAUAAAUUAGAUAUUUUUGAAGUUUUGAAGAGUAUAUGGGCAAUUAUCCUUUUUUAUAAAAAAUCUCACUGUAUUGGCAACUAUUGGGAUUACAGAGGGAUUGUGUUAUGUGCGGUGAGAAAGUGCAAUAGGAAAAUAUCAUUAUUGUUUUCGUACGUAAUAUUAUGUUUCGCAUAUUACAAUAUAUUUUCUACUAGUGUCGUAUGAAUCUCAAUACUAAAAUAAGCCUUAGUACACUCCAUACCAUA